GAAACUUAAUUUUUAGAAAAUGUGUGAACUUGAUGUUGUUGUGAUUCCUGCUAAAGCAAACUAUGUAAGCUUCAAUUGUUUAUGUCUUGGUCAUUCUUCUCAACAAAUUGUUGGUCGGCUACUUUGUUUUUAAGAUACAUCAUCACUUCAGCAGAAUGAAAACUCAACAACCUGGCAUCAAGGUCAACAACCCAAUAUCAUGAAGGAUAAUGAAUUUAUGGGGAUAAACCUUCUUUUACUCGAUGAACAGUGCUCAGUAAUCCAUACCUUUAUCCCAUCAGCCUAUGCCUCUCAAUUUCGUAAUAUUUUAUGUCAAGGCGUAAUGUUCAAUUUUGGAGUAUUUAAAGUGGGUCGUUGCACAAGGCUCUACAAGAUCAUUCGUUUCCUUUUUGCAACAAAAAUCAUUGAACUUCCAGAUACAUCAGGUAGAAUACGAUUGAAAGCAAUGGCUUCCAUGCUACAACGACUAGCUACUAAACCACAAUCCUAUUGUCCAACGACUACUGCUACACCUUCCUAGGAAGCAAAGCAAUGUAUUUGAAGAAAAGAUAAGCUUGAAAAUGUGGAAUAUCAUUACGGACAUGGGACGGUGAUGCUUACAUAGUAUUUUGAAAUGAAUAACAUAAUCAAGAAGCCCAGAAGUUGAAACAUAUGCAGAUGCUAACAGAGUUUUUAUGGGAUAGUGCAAAUAACAUGUACCGUAGAAGAGAGCAGCGGGAAAACAUUGGAAGGGUUAUAAACAUAAACCCUACAAUAGGUGAUUUGUAAGAUCUUCGAAUCAUGCUCAGCGAUGUGAAGGAUGCCACAAGUUUCGAUCAUUUGAAGAUUGUAGGAGUGUUAUACAUGAUAUUUUUAAAGCAGCAUGUUACACAAAAUGGUUGUUAGAUGGACACAAAUAAUGAGAUGAAGCUAUUGAUGAAGCCACGCAAUGAAUAUAUUCUGUCAAAUUCAUAUGUCGUACUUUCUUUUUCCUAGAAAACUUUAUAACGUUUCUUCUUCACUGGAUAUAACAACACCAUGAUUCAUGACU